rnacentral:rRNA from 1 species
UACGUAGGGUGCAAGCGUUAAUCGGAAUUACUGGGCGUAAGGGGUGCGUAGGCGGUUGUUUAAGUCUGUCGUGAAAUCCCCGGGCUCAACCUGGGAAUGGCGAUGGAUACUGGGCAGCUAGAGUGUGUCAGAGGAUGGUGGAAUUCCCGGUGUAGCGAUGAAAUGCGUAGAGAUCGGGAGGAACAUCAGUGGCGAAGGCGGCCAUCUGGGACAACACUGACGCUGAAGCACGAAAGCGUGGGGAGCAAACAGG